rnacentral:lncRNA from 1 species
UCAGAGGGAGUGAGACGGGACAGAGGUCAGCACGAAGGGAGGUCAGCACGAAGGUGAGCUGCCUUUGGGCAGCGUGUCAGACAGAGACAUCAGGUCAGAGAAGAAGAGCGCAGAAAACGUAAGGGCUGUCUUGGAGCUGACUUGCGGGAAGAAGUAGCUUAUAGCUGCCUAGACGGGACAGCCAAGAAAAACCGAGAGGACUGCGCAGAGCACAGAGGCAGAGGGCUUCAUUCCAUUCUUAUUGGUGUUAUCUUCUCAAACUCAUGUUUUACGUUUCGGUUUAAUUUUUCCAAACUUCUAUUUUAUUUCUGUUUCAAUAAUGUGUAAUUAAACUUAUUUUGACUAGAGGUUAAUUCAAAGCCAUGAAUAUAUUUGUAAUAUGAAUUGAUUACCUUCGG